rnacentral:tRNA from 1 species
GCUCUGGUAGCUCAGUUGGUAGAGCGGUGGACUGUAGAUCCAUAGGUCGCUGGUUCAAAUCCGGCCCAGAGGA